rnacentral:rRNA from 1 species
ACGAACGCUGGCGGCGUGCUUAACACAUGCCAGUCGCACGGAAAGGCCCUGCUUUUGUGGGGUGCUCGAGUGGCGAACGGGUGAGUAACACGUGAGUAACCUGCCCUUGACUUUGGGAUAACUUCAGGAAACUGGGGCUAAUACCGGAUAGGAGCUCCUGCUGCCUGGUGGGGGUUGGAAAGUUUCGGCGGUUGGGGAUGGACUCGCGGCUUAUCAGCUUGUUGGUGGGGUAGUGGCUUACCAAGGCUUUGACGGGUAGCCGGCCUGAGAGGGUGACCGGCCACAUUGGGACUGAGAUACGGCCCAGACUCCUACGGGAGGCAGCAGUGGGGAAUAUUGCACAAUGGGCGGAAGCCUGAUGCAGCAACGCCGCGUGCGGGAUGACGGCCUUCGGGUUGUAAACCGCUUUCGCCUGUGACGAAGCGUGAGUGACGGUAAUGGGUAAAGAAGCACCGGCUAACUACGUG